rnacentral:rRNA from 1 species
UGGGGUAUAUUGGACAAUGGGCGCAAGCCUGAUCCAGCCAUGCCGCGUGGGUGAUGAAGGCCCUAGGGUUGUAAAGCCCUUUCGGCGGGGGAGAUAAUGACGGUACCCGCAGAAGAAGCCCCGGCUAACUUCGUGCCAGCAGCCGCGGUAAUACGAAGGGGGCCAGCGUUGCUCGGAAUCACUGGGCGUAAAGCGCACGUAGGCGGAUUGCUAAGGCAGGGGUGAAAUCCUGGAGCUCAAUGCCAGAGCUACCUUUGAUACUGGCGACCUUGAGUCCGGGAGAGGUGAGUGGAACUGCGAGUGUAGAGGUGAAAUGCGUAGAUAUUCGCAAGAACACCAGUGGCGAAGGCGGCUCACUGGCCCGGUACUGACGCUGUGGUGCGAAAGCGUGGGGAGCAAACA